GAUGACAAUUUUUUAUUUAUUUAUUUAUUUAUUUUUUAUUUACAGAUCCGUAUCUUUGAUAAUGUAGCGGCCAGGCAGAGUACAUUUAGUAAUCAACGUUGAAGUAUUUCCCGGUGGAAGGAUGAUGGAUGAGCUGAGCUGAAAGAGAACAGGAAUGAAUAAGGGUCUGCGCAAGAAACAAAGCAAAAGGGGGAAUACAUUUUAGGUAAAGGUGUACUAAAUUAGCCAGAGCAGUGAAGAAAAAAGAUACCCUAUACAGGAAAAAGAAUUAUGAGAUAAGGGACGCAGGGGAAGGUAAAUGGAAUCUGAGGGUGUUCUUGCAGGUGUUCAGGACAGAAGGUGAAGACAGAGUGCUCGGUUUUAGAUAGCGAAUGGGAAAGUGAAAAAGAGCAUUCAACAGUAGUAUUGUAUUACUGAGUUAGUAGAUUCUCUUAACUGGUCUAAAGCCAACAUCUUAGUGUGUGUGUGUGUGUGUGUGUGUGAUUAUAAACUGUUUGCCGUAAGGGAUCCGGAAGCGUGCGGUCAGAAUCUUGGCGGCCUAGGGGGCGACGAAGGCCUGGUCUCGGGUGACGGCGCCGCUCAGUAGGCUACCUGUGUCAUUAGCUGGAAUGGGAAGGAACCUUUAACCCGGAACACACCUGCUUGACUAAUGAGGCGAAGUUAGUGCGCUGGUGGUAAGCUGGAAAUAAUAGGAAAAAGAAACUGCUGCCUCCCAUGAAAAUAAGUCCCAAAAAAACCAAGACAAGCCAACAGUCAUCCAGGCUUCAUCAGCCAAGGGAAGCCAACAUGCACCAGAGCCCUGAUCAGCCGAAGAGAGCGAAAACAAUGUCGACACCUUUAUCCUCUCCCUCACGUGGAAUCCCAGAGGUCGCUGAGAGGCAAAUCAAUGCUUGUUCUGCCAACAUUCGUCAGUCUCUCCCUUUCCUUGUCAUCUUAAACCUCUCGGCGUGUCCCUCUCCUCCUCGCCCCUCCAGAUGUACUUGAAACAGUCGGACGCCCUUCUCAUCACCGCAACAUUAGACGGUUCCUAGUCCCAUUAACCUGCUGAUGAGACUCUGCAGAUCUCUACUUAGAACUUAUCGACUGAGGAGUUGCUCUUUGGUCUCCCCUUCGCCUGAAUUAACCAGCCCUUGUCUCAGUUAAGUACCAUUACUUCAGCGCCAAGCUCGAUGCGUGAUUCCGUUAUUUUUCGUUCCUCAGGCACGACUUGCAUGCGUGGCCAGCUCGGCAAGGUGAUGCCACUCUCUGUGUCUUGCUGUAUUGACCACUUUGGCUUCUGUAACAGCUUACUGCAAUACUUUCAUGUGUCUCACUAUCAUUACUUCACCAGUACUUUCGAUCACACACACACACACACACACACACACACACACACACACACACACAGAGAGAGAGAGAGAGAGAGAGAGAGAGAGAGAGAGAGAGAGAGAGAGAGAGAGAGAGAGAGAGAGAGAGAGAGAGAGAAUACAAUUUUUCUCUGCCUGGAUCGGAAUCGUGAUUGGUUGCCCCGUAUCCUGGUCUCGGUGGUGUCAGUGGCUGUGCUUGGCAGGAAACCCUAACAUUUACCCCGUGAUGGCCUCCUAUAUGUAAUGAAGGCUUGGGAGGAAGUCGCUGAAUUGGCUGUGUGGCGUGUGGUGUGGCGUGGCGUGGCGUGGGAGGCGGGAGGUGGAGGAGCGCGACCUGACAGGAUGUGGGCCGGUCGAGAGUUGGUCUUUGUUGAUAUUGUGCGAGUAUCAUAUUCCCAGUGAACCAUUGUGACGUGAGAUUGGAAUAUGAUAGUCUCAAUGUGUCAAGAGGAUCGUAUUGAUAAAAGAAAAACAUUUAUAGUAAGGAUAAUGGUGAAAUGUAUUGCUCCUUCCAUGAUGCACAAAGUGCUUGAGAGGAAUGCUUGUAUUCUUCCUUUCAUGAGUCAUCAAGAGGAAUGGCGCCCAGGCAGGAUUGGAAGACGAGUGCAGCCAUUGCGCCAAUAGGACAUGGCUGACAGGAUGUGAGAGAACACAAAUUCAUACUAACGAAUGAAAGGCUGUUCAUGAGAGCCAAAUGCUUCAUCGUGCGCGCGCGUGUUUGUACCAGCAGUUGCUCCUACUUGUGUCUGUCUAUGAAAAUCCAUCCGUUGGAGCUGAUGGCGCCCCGCAGAGCUCAAUGUUUUAUAGACACAAAAACACUGUGGCUGCACGCACGGUAGGCGCUGCUGAACACGAGACAGGAAGCCUCGUCCUGCCGUUGCCUGCGUGCGCUCGUCGGCCACACAAUGUGCCUGGAAACGCGAGCAGAGCGUGGCCCUUGACCGGCAGCGGCUCGGCCUUUAUAUAUGCCGUAUGCAUAUUCCUCGGCCGCUCCCGUCAUUGGUUCCCUCUUGUGCUCCGUCUCGUCUGAGCUUCGCUAUUUUGGCUCCCUCCAGACAGUCGGUUCUUCCCUUCCCCGUCCUGCCUGAUCGCCGCCGCGACUCGCGAUGCCAGCGCCUGACUGACGGGAGAAAUGCGCGUGAGUUAUGCUGCAAUUCAGGAGACUUGAAGGAGAGGAGCAGACUCGCAAUAAAACUUACGAAAGAUUGUCCCGGCCUCCCCAGCCUCGCAGACCAACAAGUGUCUGCCGCCGCCUUCUGAUUUUCGCCCAAUUGAAGCUUGAGACCGAGCAAGCGGCUCGUCAGGAUCACGCCAAUCCCUUGUCUCCAGGGACAGCAGGUCAGGGCCACGUCAGUCCCGCGUUCCCUGGGACAAGAGGUUAGUGCCACGCAGCCUGGCGUCCCCAGGGACAGGUGGUCAGGGCCACCGCUGGGACAGGGACAGGAAGUGAAGGCCAGGGUGUCUUCAGGGACAGGAGGCCGCCCACGCCGGGAAGCGCGGCUCUUUUUCUCACGCCAGCACGAGGAGGUCACUGUUGCAUGGUGAACCAGUCAGGACAAGUUGUGUGCGGAGGGGAAGGCGCGACCCCUGUGUGUUUGUGUGUUUGUUUGGGGAACUUUGCAUAUUUAUUAAAGGAUCACCGGGGAGGCUUUGCGGUGAAUAGAGCACCACGACUCACUGCAGUCCUUCAGCAAUUAGAUGGAUGUUCUGUGGCGCCGCUGCUGCCUUGAGAGGGAAAAUGUUAUUAGUAAUGGCUGCUUAAUGUGAACCAUUAGAUUUCUCUCUCUCUCUCUCUCUAUUUUUCUCUCGUAACGUGAACACUCCUUGUGAACGGCUCCACAAAAGACGCUGAUAUUUGAAGGGAAGACUAGUCCUACAGCCCUGUAUUGGAACUGAAUUGCCUAUAAAGGUGAGGGGAAGUGAAUAGUGAAGUAUGUGAAUGCCGAACUUGCUGAAUGAUAGACUUUUUAUAAGAGAAAUUACAUACACCUCUAUAUCACCCCCUCCUGGCCUGUGCAAGUAGAAACCACGCAUGCGCAGAUCGUUUACUAGCAGACGACACUACACUGCCCACAAUCCCUGCUCUCUGGUUGUUGUCUCCCCCAGCACUUAAGCCCCAGCACCUAGGUCAUAAAGUGCGUAACAAAGUGAACAUGACAACCUAUGAAGAUCCAGCUACUGUUAGAGCGUUGGCUCCAACAGAUAUAAAUAAAAUGACAAACCCACAACUAAAGAGAGCGCUUGCAACUCUACUAACAGCUGAUGCCUCUACACAAUCAUCUAAUAAUGAUCUAUUGGAGGAAAUAAGAAGCUUAAAAGAGGAAGUGAAAGGCAUGGCCAGCAUUAAACAAGAAGUGGAGCAGUUGUCUGAUAAGUUGGACCAAGCAUUCCAGAUUAUUUCACAAAAACAGUUAUUUUUAGAAUCUUUGGACAACAAGGAGAGGAAGAGAAAUUUAGUUAUUACUGGGUUGACAGAAGAGAGCGAUGUAACAGGGUGCAACGAUGCUGAGAAAGUACGCAAUGUGAUAGCAGCGACUGGAUAUCAGCAAAACGUUGAUCCUGCAGCGUGGGAAAUCAAACGACUCGGAAAAGAGGACCAGCGUAGGAAACGACCGCUUCUUGUCGUGGUGGGAGACGGAAAUCAACGUAAUGAGAUCGUGAGGAUGGCAAAGAACUUGAAAUCAGUUGAAGGACCUCUCUCUUCUGUGUAUGUCAAGAAGGAUGUCCACCCGGCAGUGAGGAAGGAGAUGGCGCGGUUGAGGCAACGUGAAAGAGAAGAAAAAGAAAAGCCAGGAAAUGUGGGUGUGUCUAUUAGUUAUGAUUGGAAAAGACGUGUGUUGUUAAGGGAUGGCAAUGUAAUCGAUAAGUUUUCACCAUAUUUUUUUCUGAAUACAAAGAAAAAUACCAGUGUGUUGAAAUUAUGUUCAUGGAAUGUAUGUGGAGUAAGGGAAAAAUUGAAUGAUCCGGAAAUUCUUAAGUUCUUAAUGCAAUAUGAUCUGGUUUGGCUGUUAGAGGUUAAAAGUGCGUAUGAAAAAAGUGUACCUGGUUUCUAUAUGUAUAACAAUAAGUCAAGAGUAGGCUGUAACAGAGGUGGUGUUAUGUUGCUCAUCAAAUGUGCGUCGAUGCAAUAUGUGACCAAUGUAAACAUGGAGGAAGAUGACAUGAUAUGGGUGAAUUUAUCGGUGUGUAAAGAUGUGAAAUUCGGUGGUGUUUAUAUACCUCCAGAAGACUCACUAUAUUGCGAAGCUUCACCGUUUCGAGCGUUAAGUGAGAUGUGUUUGAACACUCGUGACGUAGUUGUUUUAGGUGAUUUUAAUGCACGAGUUGGAUCACAUGUGUUGUCGUGUGGUGAUGGAAGUGUCUAUAGAUAUGAUGGUGUGAAGGAUCCGGUAGUGAAUAGUCACGGGCGUAUGUUGCGUAACAUGUGUAGAAGUAACAAUAUGGUUGUGAUGAAUCACCUGAACAGAAAAGGAACUACCUUAGGAGGUGACUUAUCUUUUAGAAGAGGAUCAAGAUGGACAUCGGAGAUUGACUUGUGCGUGGUUACUUCCGAUUGCGUAAGAUUUGUCAGUUCGGUCGAGGUAAACAAGUCAGUUAAAGGUUCCGACCACGCCCCAAUUUGCGUAGAUCUCGCUACUAAAGAAAUGACUCAAGUUUCCCCGACAGAGCUGUUAGAGCGAGCUAACGGUCUGGGUGAGUCAUACCGAAGAAUACGUACAAACGAGUCGAUGUGGAAAAGUAAACUUACAUGAUUUCAGUACCGAAUUGCUAAGUCUCGAUCCACCGAAUCCGGACGCUGUUAGUAUUGAAAAUAUUUCUGAAGCCUUCAGAUCGAGCAGUGAAAUUAUUCAUGAAGCUGCUCGUAGGAACAGAUGUGAACGUCUCGACCAGCAGGAAGAAACGUGGGACAGAAUGUUGCCGCGCUGGAGAAGGAUAUUAGAAACAAAUGAUGCUAAGUUCAUAUGGAAGGCCAUUAACUGGUCAGGGAAUAUUGAUACGCACGAACACAGACAACCUGAAGACGAUCAACUAAAGACCCAUUUCGAGAGCUUGUUAAAUAAUGAGUGUCACACUAAUAGUAUUCGCACUGUAUGUAUAGAUGACUCGACUCCAACGAUACCCGUAUUAGACGAACCUUUCACUGUACAAGAAUUAGAUAAAGUACUCAAGGAUGUGAAUGUUAGAAAAAGUUAUGUUGGUAUUUGUCCAGGAAUUAUGAGAGCUUUACCUGUUAACUGGAUCAUGUUCUUUUUACAUAUGUUUAACGUUGUUUUUCUUAAUGUGUGUUAUCCAGUUUCAUGGGGUUGUAGCAAACUUUUUGUACUCUUCAAAGGAGGUAAAGACAGACUUGAAUGUGGAAACUACAGAGGCAUAUCCAUUAUGAAUACAUUGGCAAAAUUGUAUGAUUACUUAAUUUUGAACAGAUUAAAACUAUGGACAAGUAUUGAUAAAUGUCAAGCAGGUGCUCAAAGCGGUCGAGGAUGUGUCGAACAAAUAAUGACGUUAAGAUUAUAUUAUGUGACCUGGCUAAUUAUAAGAAAAAGAAGCUGUAUAUGUUAUUCAUAGAUUACAGCAAAGCAUAUGAUAGAGUGCCUCGAGGUAAAUUGCUUGAAUUGCUUAAAUCACGUGGUUGUGGUAAGGUUAUGUUGCGUGCUAUACAAGCUAUGUAUUCCUGUACUCAAAGUGUGUUACGUUCUGCAACUAUUGAUGCCACUGUUGGAGUCCGCCAAGGAUCUCCAUCGAGUUGUCUCUUAUUCACCACAUACAUGGAUGAGGUGGUUAGGAUGAUAAACAGGUGUGUAGAUACAGAUGGAUUCUUGGGGAAACUACAUACGCUCCUUCUUAUGGAUGACAUGGUAAUACUAGCUACUUCUAAAGAAAUGUGUGUGAGAAAGUUAACCGCAGUGUUGGAUUAUUGCCAAGAAUAUGGAAUGAUACUUAAUGAAAAGAAAACAAAACUUAUGGUAGUGCGAGGUACAGAUGAAGACAGAUUGCCGUUAACUGUUCGUAACAUCAAGAUAGACUGUGUUCAUAAGUAUCUUUACCUUGGGGCAUGGAUUUGUGAUGAUGCAAAGAUGAACACAGUAUUGGACCUUCACGAAACCGUGAAUGAGAUGCAACUCAAUAAAUUUGCAAUUUUUUGUGCAGCAAAUAACAUUAUGCCAUAUACAUACAAGCGCAAAGUAUUUGAUGCUGCUGUCACUUCUGCCCUUCUUUAUAGCUCAGAAACAUGGUUGACAAAUAAUCCUAGAAAGAUAAUUGUUCAAUACAAUAGAGCAGUAAAGAACUUGCUAGGGGUAAGGAAAUUUACAAGCCCCGACAUGUGUCUUAUUGAAUCAGGUAUUCCACCUGUACUUGAUGUCAUAGCAAAAAGGAGAAGGAAAUUUCUAGAAUCAAAGUUAAGGGAACCGAACGUUGAAGAACCAUUCUAUGUUGCAUUUGAGUUGUGUAGAGUAGCUAAUACUCCAGGGUAUCAAUUUGUGAUGAAGGCACUACAGUAUAGAGAUAACGUAAAUCCACUGGAUAUAGUCAAAAUAAAAAUUAGAGAAAAACCCGAGACGGCAUCUAAGUAUGUGGCGUACAGAUCAGUAAUUAACCCUGAACUAUCAGUACAUCCAGUUUAUGUCAGCAAUGAGUUUGUCCCGGACUACAAAAGGCAGGCCCUUACGAGGCUUCGACUAAUGUCACAUGAUUUAAAAAUUGAGACAGGUAGAAGGAAUGGAAUACCAGCAGAGUUGCGACUGUGUAUGUGUGAUAGUAAUGCAGUACAAGAUGAGUCUCAUGUUUUGUUAAAUUGUUCUUUGUCAAGGGACUGUAGGGCUAGAUAUAAUAUGUUGGAUUUUAGUAGUUUUACCAGUUUAAUGAAGUAUAAGGGUAAAUUAGGUACUUUAUGUGAUUAUGUUUGCGAUGUGUUAAAGCUUUACGGCUAAAAUGUUCUUGUUUUUUUAAAAGAAAGGGAGUUUGAAUUUUUUAUUAGGCACUUUAUGUGAUUAUGUUUGCGAUGUGUUAAAGCUUUACGGCUAAAAUGUUCUUGUUUUUUAAAAGAAAGGGAGUUUGAAUUUUUUUUAGGAGUUAAGUUUGGAGAAAGUUUGUUUUUUGCAAUGUGAAUUGGUUAAUUUUAUCUGGACAGGAUUUUUAUUUGUAGCUCUUUUUUAUAUGAUAUAAUGAUUUUAGUGAAAUGAUUUUUACUUUAAGCUCCUUGUAAUCGCAAAAUUCUGUCAAUAAACUAUAAUAAUAAUAAUCUCUCUCUCUCAGUCGCGAGGGACUACCGCCCGUCACCACUUUUGAACUUUAAUACCUAAACUUUUUAAUUCUGAGACGCUCCUCCGGCGGUGCGUCGUGACGAAAAGUUGCGAACAUUAUUUUUGCAGAGUUUAGCUGCCGCCUUUACAUUUCGUUACGUCUUCCUCUCGGUCAUUGAGUGGCAUCCCUUUAGACACCUGUGGCGGAGAUGACGCGGGCAACACGACAUGGUUAUAGAAGUUUUCCUUCACGCAUUGCUUCCAACUCCCGAAUUUAGUUAUAGUGAGGCUGAGGUGGCGCUGGUAGCGGCUGAGUACUUGCCUUUCUAACCUAAGUGAUACCAGAGUUCGUCCUCUUUAAGUUUGAAAUAGUCAAACAUAUCAAUAUUUAAUAUCGAGUUUCUUACAAAUAUAUACAUUUUUCAAGGUUCGUCCAUCUACAUUCACUUGAGUAUUACAUGUAUUUCAAAAAGACUUCCCUCAAAUACGUAUCUACUAAACUAUUCAGGAUGCAAUGCGCGUAGUUUCACGGAUUCUCUGACUUUAGAAAAUAUUUUACUGUGAAUAAAAAAUCUUGCUCACAGAUAUACCGUUGUCAGAUUCGUUAUGGUGUGCGGAGAUGGCCGGAUAUGUGGUGGUGGAAAGGUGGACGAAAGGGAGACACCGUGGAAGACACGAAAGGAGAGUGGGUUGGACAGAAAGAGGGAGGGAGCGCUAGUUCUACAUAAAAAUACAUAAAAAGACAAUGAUUUUUAAAGUGUACUGAGAUCUAUUAUGAUUAAAACCUUGAGUAAUGUUAUCAAAACCUUCUAUACUUCAUCACGAAGGCCACGAAAACUACACAAGGACGGACGCAGAGCCGAGAGGAGGGAGGGAGUGAGGGAGGGGCGGAGGGCGGUAGUAUUUAAGAUGAGGCGUUGGUGCUGUUGCUAAACUAUACGUACAUCCAUUGUACUUUUAAAACCAUAAAUCAUACUAUUACAACACUAACUUUCAUCACAAACCAUCAAGACUUAAAAAAAAUUACAUACAAGGUUAAAAUAAUGCAGGAAAUUAAUGAUGAGGUGGCACCUUCUCACCGUCAGGGAGGUGUAUCACUCCGCCAGCAGCAAACUUGACGUCAUGGGCCAGGGCAUGCAGCGGCGUGCAGUGCGUGGGUAUGGUGACUGUGUGGCCUCUGAUGUAGAGGUGUGUGAGCUGCUGGACGAGAGAAGAGCAAACUAAAAGUAAACAUGGGAUUGCUGCCGCCUCAGGACACUAGGAGCAUUGCGGAAGCGCUGAGGAAGACAUCACAACCCUUGACACAGCGAACACAACUCUGUACUGAGGCUGGCACUGGCUUCUCCCAACACCUCACGUGGUCAUUGCAACAAAAGGAGGAAAUAUCGUCACCAGCUUACGUUCGCGGCCACAAGUGAUCCGCCACUCACACUGAUGCCCACUGCGCUCCACCCCGACCCCGCGACUCGCCUCAGGCUCAUAUCCAGAAACGCUUUGCUCUCUCAUCGCGACUGUUUUUAAGAGGUCACAAAGAUUUGUAGCUGAAAAUUGAAGAGAUAUU